rfam:Ascaris suum AG00752, whole genome shotgun sequence.
GCACGGAUGGCCGAGUGGUUUAAGGCGCCAGACUUAAGAAAAAUCGAUGCUGCAACAGCACUGUUGAGUGUUCUGGUAUGGGAAUCCAUGCGUGGGUUCGAAUCCCACUUCGUGCA